CACAACUUUCAGCGACGGAUAUCUCGGCUCAGGCACCUAUGAAGGGCGCAGCGAAUUGCAGAUCUCCGUGAACCAAUGGCCCCCUGAACGCGCAUUGCACUCUUGGGACUUCCUGAGAGUAUGUUUGCUUCAGUGCUU
rnacentral:rRNA from 1 species